UGAAGGUUGUGCUGCUCUGGCUUCAGCUCUGAGAUCAAACCCCUCACACCUGAGACACCUGGAUCUGUCUGAGAAUAAUCUAGGAGAAUCAGCAGUGAAGUUACUCUCUGAUCUGAAAGAUGAUCCACGUUAUAAACUGGAGACAUUAGACUACUGACUCUCAGUAUUUAGACGUCAGUUCAGUUUCCUCAGGAUCAGCUGAUGGUGAAUAAGAGCCGCUACAGGAAUCAGUGAUGUAAAGUUAAAUGAAUGCAUGGAAGUGUAAUGUGUGUAGCAGUGUUGAUGUGUUUAUACAGCACUGAAAACCAAGAAUCAAUGUGAUAUUUUCAGUGAUGGGCUUAUAUCCUGAGCUGUCCAGAUUUAAUAUAUAUCAUCAUAACUGUGUAUUCUGAAAUUCAGAAAUAGACAACUUAUCACUUGUACAUUUUCUUAUAUUUUAAUCCAGUCUAACAUUUGAGUGUGUAACCUUUGUAUGUAUGUGUUUAUUUUUAUUAAAAUAUGUGUCAUCUCGCGAAGAGGGGCUUCCACUUGA